UACGUAGGGUGCGAGCGUUAAUCGGAAUUACUGGGCGUAAAGCGUGCGCAGGCGGUGAUGUAAGACAGGUGUGAAAUCCCCGGGCUUAACCUGGGAACUGCAUUUGUGACUGCAUCGCUGGAGUGCGGCAGAGGGGGAUGGAAUUCCGCGUGUAGCAGUGAAAUGCGUAGAUAUGCGGAGGAACACCGAUGGCGAAGGCAACCCCCUGGGCCUGCACUGACGCUCAUGCACGAAAGCGUGGGGAGCGAACAGG
rnacentral:rRNA from 1 species